rnacentral:rRNA from 1 species
CCUACGGGAGGCAGCAGUGGGGAAUAUUGCACAAUGGGGGAAACCCUGAUGCAGCGACGCCGCGUGAGUGAAGAAGUAUUUCGGUAUGUUAAGCUCUAUCUGCAGGGAAGCAAAUGACGGUACCUGAUUAAGAAGCCCCGGCUAACUACGUGCCAGCACCCGCGGUAAUACGUAGGGGGCAAGCGUUAUCCGGAUUUACUGGGUGUAAAGGGAGCGUAGACGGCAGCACAAGUCUGGAGUGAAAUGCCUGGGCUUAACCCCGGAACUGCAUUGGCAACUGUGCGGCUAGAGUGCAGGAGAGGUAAGUGGAAUUCGUAGUGUAGCGGUGAAAUGCGUAGAUAUUAGGAGGAACACCAGUGGCGAAGGCGGCUUACUGGACUGGAACUGACGUUGAGGCACGAAAGCGUGGGGAGCGAACAGGAUUAGAUACCCUAGUAGUC